GACGAACGCUGGCGGCGUGCUUAACACAUGCAAGUCGAGCGAGCGGCGGACGGGUGCGUAAUGUCUGGGAAACUGCCCGAUGGAGGGGGAUAACUACUGGAAACGGUAGCUAAUACCGCAUACCAUCGGAUGUGCCCAGAUGGGAUUAGCUAGUAGGUGGGGUAACGGCUCACCUAGGCGACGCUCCCUAGCUGGUCUGUGAGGAUGACCAGCCACACUGGACCUGAGACACGGUCCAGACUCCUACGGGAGGCAGCAGUGGGGAAUAUUGCACAAUGGGCGCAAGCCUGAUGCAUCCAUGCCGCGUGUAUGAAGAAGGCCUUCGGGUUGUAAAGUACUUUCAGCGAGGAGGCGUUACUCGCAGAAGAAGCACCGGCUAACUCCGUGCCAGCAGCCGCGGUAAUAC
rnacentral:rRNA from 1 species